rfam:Rattus norvegicus chromosome 7, whole genome shotgun sequence.
GGGGAUUUGGCUCAGUGGUAGAGCGCUUGUCUAGGAAUCGCAAGGUCCUGGGUUCAAUCCCCAGCCCCG